rnacentral:rRNA from 1 species
UACAGAGGUCCCAAGCGUUGUUCGGAUUCAUUGGGCGUAAAGCGCACGUAGGCGGCUUUGUAAGUUAGAGGUGAAAGCCCGGGGCUCAACUCCGGAAUUGCCUCUAAGACUGCAUCGCUAGAAUUGUGGAGAGGUAAGUGGAAUUCCGAGUGUAGAGGUGAAAUUCGUAGAUAUUCGGAAGAACACCAGUGGCGAAGGCGACUUACUGGACACAUAUUGACGCUGAGGUGCGAAAGCGUGGGGAGCAAACAGG